UGCCAUGUACUUUGUUGUCCAUAGUCAACGGCAACAGCUGGAGAUGCAUCAGCAUAGUCUCCUUAGGCUUCAGAAUGCUGCAGAGAAUAAAUAUUGCAGGGAUGGGACGUUCCUAAUCUCCCUUGGAAUAUCAAAAUCUGGAGAGAGGAUGCUGCAAUAAGAGGGGAAGAGUUCCUCCUCCUGCCCAUUUGUAUGAGUUCUGCACUAUGCCAAGCUGUAACAAGAGGGUGCUGAAGUACAACUUUUAUAAGAUGAGAGCCUUGUUCCAGACUAGAGGCUUAUGACCAUGACCCAGGAAAGACAAAACAUUGGUUGUAUCCAACCAGAGC